CAUCACUCUGUGGGGGCAAAUAGGACAACAACUUAAGAAUAAUGUUCCUUAAGAUUAUAUUGCAAAGAAUCUGGGAAUUUCAUUGUCUGCACUUCCAACCAUUGAUCCUGGAGCAGAUCACGGGGAAACCAGGAGCCCAAUCCAGGCAGCUCAAGGCGAUUGGCUGGGGACAGAAACCCACAUGAUUCUCGUAGGAUGUACAACCAUUACACAGAAGAGAGGCGAUUCUUGAACCUUCAGCCCUGGGGGUCUGAGGCAAAAAUGCUAACCGCUGAGCCUCCAUACCAUCUUGGAUCCAUCCAUCCAUCCAUCCAUCCAUCCAUCCAUUCAUCCAUUUUGUG